GACGAACGCUGGCGGCGUGCUUAACACAUGCAAGUCGAACGGAAAGGCCCUGCUUUUGUGCGGUGCUCGAGUGGCGAACGGGUGAGUAACACGUGAGUAACCUGCCCUUGACUGUGGGAUAACUUCAGGAAACUGGGGCUAAUACCGGCUAGGAGCUCCUGCCGCAUGGUGGGGGUUGGAAAGUUUCGGCGGUUGGGGAUGGACUCGCGGCUUAUCAGCUUGUUGGUGGGGUAGUGGCUUACCAAGGCCUUGACGGGUAGCCGGCCUGAGCGGGGGAGCUGCCCCACUACGACUGAGCUACGGCCCAGACUCGUAUCGUACGCAGCAGUGGAGAAUAUUGCACAAUGGGCUGAAGCCUGACGCAGCACCGCCGCGUGCGGGAUGACGGCCUUCGGGUUGUAAACCGCUUCCGCCUGUGACGAGGCGUGAGUGACGGUACUGGGUAAAGAAGCACCGGCUAACUACGUG
rnacentral:rRNA from 1 species